rnacentral:lncRNA from 1 species
GUUUUUCAAUAACACAAAAGAUUGUUUUAUUGGUUGUGCACUUAUCGUUUUUAUCGAGGAACCAAGAUUCAUUUAUGUCUUUUACAAAAAGUGCAUACGAAAGGAGACGCAGUAGACGUGUUCAAAAGAAAUAUUAAAAAAUAUUAGAACUUUUAUCAGUACAUAUAGAAAAAAAAUCGACUGUUGAAACUUUUAAAAGAAAUGAGUUCUUAUCUUGCGAAAAUCUAAAAGAAUAUUUUGACCAUCAUGAAUCAUCAAUUUUGUACAAUGAAUACUCUUGUGACCAAAAGCCUAAUGAGUAUAUGCAUAACCCAACUUUGAAGGAAAGUUUUUCUGCAUGUUUUUUUAACCAAGUAAUGUUGCACUAAAGAAGUGGAUUGACAAAAAAUAGCAACAAAUUUAUUGUCCCAAAAAAAACUAUAAUCAUGCACUGAAAAACAACCUUUCAUCAACAAAAGAAUGGCACAAGUUUCCAUUGAUAAAGUGUAAGAUUACAGAUGAAUUGUUAUCAGAUUCAGAGAUUCAAGAAGAUGCUUUUUCUUCACAUUUUAUUGAUGAACACAAUAAAACCAAGCAAAGUUCACAUUGUCAAAGAGUUUCAAGUUUUAAUGUUUCCAAUCUGCUUCUUUUGCCUUUGUCUGAUUCUACGGAUAAAGUUUUAGCUGAUUUAAAAAAGAUGCAAAAUGUUAUUCUCAAGGAGCUUGCAAAAAUAAAAGUUCUUUUAAAAGAAGUUAUAUAAAUUAAGUUUUAGGCUACUGGGGUAAAGUUGCUAGAAUCAGUGGACGAAAUGGUUACACUGGAUAAUAAACUAAAAGAUAAAACCGAGUAUACUAAUUUGCUUGAUAGUUUGAAAAAGAUUGGUUACGGAAAGCCAAAAGAACAUGUUUUUUUGAUCAUGAAAAGGACAUUUUCGAGUAAGAUACAGUCCAAAUUAAAUCGAAAAGGAAAUGGGGAAAAGUUAAACUUAGAAAAUCUAGUAAAUAUAUGGAGUGUUUUACGAGCUUUGAUUUUUUAAAAAGAGUUAUUAAUCUAAUCUUGCAACAGUAAAUCUUGAUAAUUUUACAAAAGAUAAACAACUUCACAAAGUCAAAUUCUUUCUCCUAUGACUAAUUUUAAUAGUUCUUACGUAGCAGAAUUUACAAAAUGUUCUGAAUGUUGAUUGUAUUCAAAACGCUAAAACGAAGCUUGUACGAUCAAGACGGUAUCCUUUUGCAUUUAGUAUUGAUUGCACAGAUAACAUGUUUAAAAAUUUAUUUACCUAAUUCCGCGGUAAAAACAGCUUAAUUGUAUUAAUUUGU